rnacentral:tRNA from 1 species
GCUCUGGAGGACUAGUGGUUAGGCCACAGCGCUCUCACCGCCGCAGCCCGGGUUCGAUUCCUGGCCAGGGAA